rnacentral:rRNA from 1 species
AUGAACGCUAGCGGCAGGCUUAACACAUGCAAGUCGAGGGGUCUCAAGGGAGCUUGCUUCUGCGAGACGACCGGCGCACGGGUGAGUAACGCGUAUCCAACCUGCCCUUCAUAUUGGGAUAGCCUUCCGAAAGGGAGAUUAAUACCGAAUAACAUGAGAAGAUUGCAUGAACCUCUCAUGAAAGUUCCGGCGGUUAUGGAUGGGCAUGCGUUGUAUUAGCUAGUUGGUGAGGUAACGGCUCACCAAGGCGACGAUACAUAGGGGGACUGAGAGGUUAACCCCCCACAUUGGUACUGAGACACGGACCAAACUCCUACGGGAGGCAGCAGUGAGGAAUAUUGGUCAAUGGACGCAAGUCUGAACCAGCCAUGCCGCGUGCAGGAAGACGGCUCUAUGAGUUGUAAACUGCUUUUGUAUGAGGGUAAAAUUAGGUACGUGUACCUGACUGAAAGUAUCAUACGAAUAAGGAUCGGCUAACUCCGUG